AGUUUUACUGAGUCUGAUACUUAACGUGACUGGAUGCCACACUCACACAAUAUAACACUACCCGACCCCAAUUUAUGAUUCCUGCUGUGCUAUAUUGUUG